AAUAAAUAUAUGGGGCUGGGACCCCCCCCCCAGGACCCCCCCGGGGUGGGAGCCCCCCCCCGUUGCACGCCCAGGGGGUGGGAGCCCCCCUUUGUGCCACCCCCCCAUUGCACACCCCCAUAGAUGCCCCCCCCUUACACCCCCAUAACCGUGCCCCCCCCUAUAUCCCAAUCCCCCCCCCCCCCCCCCCCCCCCCCCCCCCCCCCCCCCCCCCCCCCCCCCCCCCCCCCCCCCCCCCCCAUAUCCCCCCCCCGUCCCCCCCCCCCCCCCCCCCCCCCGGUGCGUUGCACACGCGCGUGCAAGGCGUGCUCAGUUGCAGGAUUACCGCAGCUUCGCGCGCACGGGGGGCCCGGGGGGCAGCGCGGCGCUGCAGCGCGUGGUGGGGCAGUUCAAUGGGGUCUCGCGCUGGGCCCAGCUCCUGGUGCUCAGCCCCACGGCGGCCCCACAGCGGGCGCGGGUCCUGGCCCGAUUCCUGCACGUGGCGCAGGUGACCCAUAGCUGACCUAUGGCUGACCCCUAGGUGACCCCUAGGUGACCCAUAGCUGCCCUAUAGGUGACCCAUAGCUGACCUAUAGAUGACCCAUGGCUGACCCCUAGUUGACCCAUAGCUGACCCAUGGCUGCCCUAUAGAUGCCCUAUAGAUGACCCCGAGGUGACCCAUAGCUGACCCACAGAUGACCCAUGGCUGCCCCAUAGAUGACCCAUGGCUGCCCCAUAGCUGCCCUAUAGAUGACCCAUAGCUGCCCUAUAGGUGACCCAUAGAUGACCUAUGGCUGCCCCAUAGCUGACCCACAGAUGACCCAUAGCUGCCCCAUAGAUGACCCAUGGCUGCCCCAUAGCUGCCCUAUAGAUGACCCCGAGGUGACCCAUAGCUGAUCCACAGAUGACCCAUGGCUGCCCCAUAGAUGACCCAUGGCUGCCCUAUAGAUGCCCUAUAGGUGACCCAUAGAUGACCCAUACGUGACCCAUAGCUGCCCUAUAGAUGACCCCUAGGUGACCCAUGGCUGACCCAUACGUGACCCAUAGCUGCCCUAUAGGUGACUCCUAGGUGACCCAUAACUGCCCCAUAUCACCCCAUAGCCCCCCAUAUCCCCCCCCAGCCUCCCCCAGCCCCCCAUAUCCCCCCCCA
rnacentral:lncRNA from 1 species